GCGCACAGGGGGAACCCUGAUCAGCCUGCCGCGUGAGUGAUGAAGGCCUUCGGGUUGUAAAGCUCUUUUGUGUGGGAAGAUAAUGACUGUACCACAAGAAUAAGCCCCGGCUAACUUCGUGCCAGCAGCCGCGGUAAUACGAAGGGGGCUAGCGUUGUUCGGAAUUACUGGGCGUAAAGGGUGCGUAGGUGGUUAUGUAAGUCAGAAGUGAAAGCCCUGGGCUCAACCCGGGAAUUGCUUUUGAAACUAUGUAGCUAGAGUUCGAGAGAGGUAAGUGGAAUAUCCAGUGUAGAGGUAAAAUUCGUAGAUAUUGGAUGGAACACCGGGGGGGGAAGGCGGCUUACUGGCUCGAUACUGACACUGAGGCACGAAA
rnacentral:rRNA from 1 species